GGUGGGGGAGGGGCAGAGAGAGGGGAAGCCAGAGAAUCCCAAGCAGCCUCCUCACUGUCAGUGCAGAGCCCGACGUGGGGCUCAAACUCACAAAACCAGUGAGACUGUGACCUGAGCCAAAACCAAGAGUGGGACGUUUAUCCGACUGAGCAAUCCAGCGCCCCUGGAUCGGUUUUAAUAAGCUUUUUUGCUGUGUCUUUACUGAAAGAGGAAGGAAUAUGCUGCAAAAAUGUUUAAGUCCAGCAACGAGCACAUUCCCCAAGAGAUGUUCUGGCAAGGGGAAGAAGGUCUCAAUAACAAGCUUGGGGAGAUAAGCAGGGGCCAGAUUAGAAAGGAUAUUAUAGGCCAUGCUUAAAAUGUUUAUCUCUAUCAGAAAAGCAACGGGAACAUAUUGAAGAGCUUUGAGCAGAGGAGUGGCGUAUUAUAUUUGCAUAUUUUAAAAGUUCCUUCUGACUAAUCUUGGAGAGUCGAUCAGAGGGUGACAGGAAUAAAUGCCAGAGAAUUCUUCCGAGGUUUUUUAAACAAAAAACGAUAAAAACUUGGGUUAAGGUGGUUAACAGUGCAGGUGACAGAAAUAAGCAUUUAAAUAUUCAGCGAAAGGACUGUGUUUUGGAAUGUAACCGUGAGCACCACUCACAUGUCAGAGGUCACUAAAGCCAUAGGAAUAGAUGAAACCGUCAAGAUUGUGUGAUGUGUAGAACGGGUUGGAGCUCAGGACAAGCCUCCACUAUUAAGAAUGGCAGAGGGGCAUGGGAGGCACGGUGGGGACCCAGGCAGAUAACCAGACUGUAGGUAACCUGCCCGCACUUGACCAUGCUUGGUGCAGCAGCCUGAUGACAGUCACACACAUGAGCAGAAGGCAGAAAUGGGGUAAGUAAAUCAUACCUUGGGAGAAGGAGAAAAGACCCAGAAGGAAAAGCAGACUGUUGAGAUGUUGUACAAACAUUUAAAUAGCACACAUAACCCCAGAGAUGACGGACAGGACCAAACCCACACGUGUUUUUUGUAGAUGGCCAUUUCUCAGAGGAAAAAGAUGGAUCUUAAUUGGAAGUCCUUUCUUCUCGGUCUCAUCAGCUUCUCUUACCUUCAGGUCAGCAGUUUUUGACGGGGUUAUUCCCACGGGUGUCAGAGAAAGGCUGAAAAACUCAUUGAAUUCAACAGCUAGAAGAAGGUCAUGAAUGGGGAUGGUUGCAGCGAAUGAGCAAAGGUUGAAGCGGGUGUCAGUGGACUCGCGAAAAGAACACUCUUAGACUCCCAUUUAUAGGACAGGGAGAAAAAUAGCUCUUAGCUAACUUUAAGAGCUAAGUGAGGAAUUAGAUUAGCAACAGCUGUUUUUCAAUUCUUGAAUAUAAAUAGCGUGACAAAGGCUGUAAAGAAGGAGAAGAUGAAAUAAUAAAGAGGGCCGAAGCUCAAGGAAUCAAGGGCACAUGGAUGGCACAGGGAGAAGCCAUUUCCCCCACUGACACUGACGAGAAGGGGUUGGCCAGGGAUAACAUGGGUAAGAGGCCGAGGUAUUGUCCACCCACAGCUUUUAUUUUCCCUGCGACGUCUGCAGGGCUCAGGCAGUACUCACUGAUUUCAAUGGUAUUCAUUGGAGGCUGAAAUACUAUUUUGAAUUUCAAAUGAGGUAUCCUGAAAUAAGUACGGGGGAGACAAAGUUGGCCAAGACGUUGUCCAGGACAGGAAGGGACAGAAAAGACCAGUAAAAUGGCGCCAUUUAAGAUCAUUUAUGUUCAAUACUUUGUUAAGAGAAACACAAUUUGAAAAUCUCAACGUAAAAUCACUGAGUUGCUUCACAUUCUGCACCUAUCUGAAUAGCCAUGUCAGAUCAUUGCUACCAUCUAUAAAUUAUUUUUGCCAUUUAAAUUAUUUUGCCAAAUUCAGAUGAAAAAAGAGAUAUUCCUUCGGUUCCUACGUCCUGCAGUCUGGUGAUCUGAGUUGAAAGGCAUGCACAGAUAAAAGAAUAUAAACAUUUACAAAGAAACAAAAACGAAGGAAAUAAGGAAGGAAGGGAGGGAGGGAGGGAGGGAGGGAGAAACUGAAAAGCAGCGUUCCUUAAAAAAAUAAACAUAGACGUUUAUAGGAUGUUUGUGAUAUUUGAUAUCAAUAUAUCAAUAUCAAUAUAUUUGAUAUUAAUAUUUUUGCCUCAUUGUGGCAUUCAAAACUUUUGACAUCCAUCUGACAGAUGAAAAUAACAUUUUUAAAGGGCUGACUGUGUUUUUUUCAAACAUCAGAAGCAACGGAAUUUAAUGGUGAAGCGCGUACUGAUUGAGGCUAUAAGACAGUUUUCGUUUUCAACUCUCACACUGAGCCUGUAUCCAAAGCCGGAACAGCUGCUUUGAUGAGAGUAACUCCAAAAAUCUUAGGUUUCAGGAUCAUCAAACAGAGAAAUCUUAAUCAUGCGAACAAAUCAAUCGUAACUGCAGCUCUGACACGUUCAUUUCAAAAUACUCACAACGAAGUCCUUCUAAGUGAGAGGCAAUAAAUAAAUCUCUGUUUGACUUGAAUGAAGUCUUGCUCAUGACACACGCUCCUUUUCUGCUGAGUAACUUUCCAGAUUAUAAAAAGUUUUCAAAGAUGCCGACUCAACCAAAGCCGACAUACAUUCAUAGCUUAAAAUAGAUGUUAAAUUUUUUACGCCUCUAAGUUCAAGUUUUAAUGAAUAAUACUGUCCCUUUUCAGUUGUUUUUUUGCAGUUUUUAUGCACAUGCUAUUCCAAGAGUCCUUGAAAUUAUAGUGUCCUAAUAACUAUUAGCUUUAUCAACCCUCACACCAUAUAUGUUUGAACAGAUCCGAUUUCCGCCAAACCUCCCCAGUUACUCGCUUCACUACGAUCAACACCGAUGCUCAUGCCCCUUCCUCAGGCCUGGUUUAUACUGUGAUGUGAAGUUACAGAGCUUCCUCCUCAAUGAUGGUGAAGAUGAGGCUGCCUGUUUAUAAGAGACAAAAAUUAUCAGCAUUUGUUGCAUGAUUCUGUGCUAAGAACUGAGCUAACUUUUUUACACAGAUUAGCAGUCCUGACGACAACCAUUAGUAGAAUCUCCAUUUCACAGAUUAGGAAAUCGAGACUUGGGUUAGUUACCUGCUUCUUGAGAGACACUCCUACAGAGGCUGUAUCCUCUCUCAUACCUGAUGACCCCACUGAAGAAAUGAAACCAACGAACCAACCAAACCAUAAGGUCCGUUCUCAUUCCACCCGAUAUCUGCACACAUAUGCUCAGUCCUUCUCUGGAUACAAAGAGAGAAGUUUCUCUGAUCCUUUUGAAACCCAGUCUUUCCACUUAAGCCCUGGAUCCUUAGCCCUCUCACUUUCUCAAGAAAUAUAUGCAGCCAUUAAAUUCUCUUCUGCAUUAUUUUAUUUUAUUUUAUUUUAUUUUAGAGAGAGAGAACAUGCAAUGCACAUGAGCAGGGGAGAGGGGCAGAGGGAGAUUGAGAGAGAGAAUCUUCAGCAGGCCCCACACUCAGCACAGAUCCCAAUGCAGGGCUCGAUCCCAUGACCCUGGGAUCAUGACCUGAUCUGAAGGCAAGAGUCAGACACUCAACUGACUGAGCCACCCAGGUGCCCCAUCUUUUCUGCACCCGUUUUUACUGGAUCAUUCCCAUCAGCAUACAGACCUGCUCUCUUACCUCCCAACUUUGCAGAAAUCUUCCUUGGCCUCUUAUUCCCCUCUGGCGAUACCAUCCCAAGCUUCUGUCCUUUCCUAUAUCAAAUUCUCCAGUGAGUUGUGAGUUGUCUAUAUUGAACACCUCAGUUUCCCCUCUUUCAUUCACUCUAGUCUGGCUUAUCACCUUGCAGCUUCUCAGACUCACUUAUCUAUAGUCUCCAUGUAGCCCAAGUGCAAUGGGUCUCUCGUGAUCUCAAUCUACUUGGCCUCUGGACCUGCCUUAGAAGUUAGCCAACAGCAGGAUUCUGGAGGAUUCUAUGUCCCCAGGAAAAGCCUCAGCAUCACGUGUAGUGGCUAUGAACAUAAACACGAAAUCUUUCCACAUAGAAUAUAUUUUAUAACUCCGUCCAGUCAUAGAUCCCGAUUUCCUUUUAUGCCUUUGUGAAAAGCUCAAUCUAAAAUCUACUAACCCAAGAACCUAUGCACCAUAAGAGAUUCUUGCUUUAAAACCCCUCUCAAAGACGCUCAACAUGUUGCAUACAUUCAAUCUGAAAACCAUGAUCAUGUUAAAUUCUGCCAACCCUCUUCCCCCACAGAGGCCGUUGUGUUUUUACAUCUGGAGACAGAGGAGGGUAUAUAUACAUUCUGCAAUCGAAUUGCACUUGGGUAACUACCCAGUCGUAGAAUUGUUGGGUCACAUGGCAUUUCUUCUUUCAAUUUUUUCGAGGAACCUCCGCACCGUUUUCCACAGUGGCUGCACCAACUUACAGUUCCCAACAACAGGAAAAACAAGAAAUACAUGCUGUCCUUUUCCUUGAGGAAUUCAUGAUCUAAUGGAAGACUGGACAUAUGCAAAAGCACUCUUUAAAUCCAGACGCUUAAGAGAACAGUCAGUGGUUCACUAAUUACUUCCGCCUACUACGUGAUUUUUCUUUCACAUACAAAUAAACAGAAAGCAUCACUCUCGGACGGAGGCAAAGCUUCAAGCAAAAACGUGUUCCCUUCUCUUGAAUCUAUUCAAAACCUAGAAGCUGCUCCCUGUCCUCAAGGGCAAAGUUCAAGAGGGUGAGAACCAUAAUGAUUCAUUUUUGUAUCCUAGUGGAUAAUACAUAGAUCUGUAACAAAUGUUUGCAGAUGAAUAAAGGAACUAACCAAGUCAUUAUUUUCAGUAUGAUAAUUGAAUAAUCUAUAGCGGAAAGGAUUUUCAAACAAGUUAAAGAAUGACCACCUGAUGUAUGAAUGAAGCGAGAGAGAUCGAAGGCAUAACAGUCUUGGGUAGAGGAAAUUCUCAGAACUUCUGAGAAAGUUCUUUGGCCGAUAAUUACUCUCAUACAUACAUAUCAGAGAAUAAUGUGGUGAAAUCUAAACUUCUCUGACAGUGGAGUAAAAUAUUUUGAGAUGCCAUUUAAGAGAGAUUCACAAAAGAACCUGUAAUUAUAAAAUGGAUAGAACUGUGUUACAGAAAAUCAGAGUACCUCAUGUCAUAUGGUGUUUUGAGAGUUGUAAAACCUUAAAAUAGUCACUGAGUCCCAGUAGGUGUUUUGGAUAUGUUGAGUGAUAGUAAUAGUAAAGAGAAUAGUAUAAGCACUUAAAUUCAGCAAACCUUGAGAAGUACCCGUUUGAAACCGUAAUGGAUUAAAGAAACAUUUAUCAAUCACCUGCGACGUGCCCACUCUGUAUAAAAUACUGGAAAUCGAGAGAUGAAUGAAACAUGGUUUCUGCCUCCAAAUGUAGUGGUGAGGUAAUUAUAAAUAAUUAAAUGGCAACACGGGAGGAGGCAGAGUGGAGGUGCUUUCAAAGCAUGAUGGGGACAGAGGAGGAUGAACUACUUUACUAUUGACUUCUAGGCUCUAACUCCCUCUAGAGAACAUAAGGUUUUCCUAGAGCUUUGAAGAGCAGGGGAGGAGUGGUUUUCCAAGCAGAGAAAACAGAUGUUAAAAAAAAACCCUGGAAGCAGUGUGUAUACAGUGGACUCAUUGUAUAAAUUCCAGUUUAGAACACACAGGGCGAUGGCCUCGGGUAAGAUGAGGAAGAUAGCGAUGUUAGACUGUGAACGGCCCCGUGCGUUAGAAUUUUUCUUGUAGGUGAUGUAGAACCAUCAAAAUUUUGAAGUAUGCCAUAGCCUAAAAUAUAAGAUACUUUAUUUUAUUUACUUAUUCGUAUUUUUUUAAGUUUCUUUAUUUUGAGAGGGGGGCGGGCAGAGAGAUGGAGAGAGAGAGAGAAUUUCAGGCAGGCUCCGUGCCGUUAGUGCGGAACCCGACGCAGGGCUCCAACUCACCAAGUGCGAGAUCAUGACCUGAGCCAAAAACAAGAGUCAGACGCUCAACCGACAGAGUCACCCAGGCACCCUUAUCUUAUUUUAUUUUAUUUCUAGAGAGAGGGAGUGCGUGCUCACGUGCACGCAAGUGGGGGAAGGGCAGAGGGAGAGAGAGAGAGAGAGAGAGAGAGAGAGAGAUUGCGAAUCUUAAGCAGGCUCCGCACUCAGCUUGGAGCCCCGUCCCACAACCCUGGGCUCAUGACCUGAGCUGAAAUCAAGAGUCGGACCAGGCGUCCCUGCAAUAUGAUGUUUUAAAAUAGCUUUUUAUUAAACACUGUACUUUGGAAACCUUAUGAGAACUGAACCGUUGAAAAAAAUAUAGAAGGUAGAGGUCUGAAAUGUUUCAGCAGCCCUGCCUCUGUCACUCCCUGGGAGGCACUUGGAGAAGCUGUAAUGUUAUCAGUUGCACUCCGGUGAAUAUUAAGAACUUA